rnacentral:rRNA from 1 species
CCUACGGGUGGCAGCAGUGGGGAAUAUUGCGCAAUGGGCGAAAGCCUGACGCAGCGACGCCGCGUGAGGGAUGACGGUCUUCGGAUCGUAAACCUCUGUCAGCAGGGAAGAACGGUCACUGUGCUAAUCAGCAGUGAAUUGACGGUACCUGCAAAGGAAGCACCGGCUAACUCCGUGCCCGCAGCCGCGGUAAUACGUAGGGUGCGAGCGUUAAUCGGAAUUUCUGGGCGUAAGGGGCUCGUAGGCGGUAUGUCAAGUCAAAGGUGAAAUCACCGCGCUCAACGUGGGAACUGCCUUUGAAACUGGCAAACUUGAGUGUGUGAGAGGAUAGUGGAAUUCCAGGUGUAGGAGGGAAAUCCGUAGAUAUCUGGAGGAACAUCAGUGGCGAAGGCGACUAUCUGGCACAUAACUGACGCUGAGGAGCGAAAGCGUGGGUAGCAAACAGGAUUAGAGACCCGUGUAGUC